UGGUUAAGCUAUAAAGAGCGCAGGGUGGAUGCCUUGGCACUAAGAGCCGAUGAAAGACGUGAUAAGCUGCGAAAAGCUUCGGGGAGGAGCAAAUAUCCUUUGAUCCGGAGAUAUCUGAAUGGGGAAACCUGGCUGAGCAAACCUCAGUCGGCGUAUGGUGAAUACAUAGCCAUACGUUGGGAACCCGCUGAACUGAAACAUCUAAGUAGGCGGAGGAAAAGAAAGAAAACUCGAUUUCCAAAGUAGCGGCGAGCGAAAUGGAAGGAGCCUAAACCGGCGUGCGUGCAUGCCGGGGUUAUGGACUGCAUAAAGCGAGGAGAUUCAUUAACAGAACGGUCCUGGAAAGACCGGCCACAGAGGGUGAAAGCCCCGUAUGUGAAAAUGAUAUCCAGUGAGCAGGAUCCAAAGUACCACGAGACACGAGAAACCUUGUGGGAAUUCGGGGGGACCACCCCCCAAGGCUAAAUACUCCUUAGUGACCGAUAGCGCAUAGUACUGUGAAGGAAAGGUGAAAAGGACCCCGGGAGGGGAGUGAAAAAGAACCUGAAACCCUGUGUUUACAAGCUGUGGAACCACAUUUUAGGUGGAACCGCGUACUUUUUGUAGAACGGUCCGGCGAGUUGCCGGGACUGGCAAGGUUAAGCACUUAAGGUGUGGAGCCGAAGGGAAACCAAGUCUUAA
rnacentral:rRNA from 1 species